UAGUCCACGCCGUAAACGAUGGAUACUAGGUGUUCGGAGUAGUUAACCCUCUGAGUACCGUAGCACACGCAUUAAGUAUCCCGCCUGGGGAGUACGGUCGCAAGGCUAAAACUCAAAGGAAUUGACGGGGGCCCGCACAAGCGGUGGAGUAUGUGGUUUAAUUCGACGCAACGCGAAGAACCUUACCUGGACUUAACAUUCAAUGAUCGCUUAAGAGAUUAAGUUUUCCUUUCGGGGACAUUGGGAUAGAUGCUGCAUGGCUGUCGUCAGCUCGUGUCGUAAGAUGUUGGGUUAAGUCCCGCAACGAGCGCAACCCUUGCCCUUAGUUGCCAGCAUUAAGUUGGGCACUCUAGGGGAACUGCCGGUGUCAAACCGGAGGAAGGAGAGGAUGACGUCAAGUCCUCAUGGCUCUUACGUCCAGGGCUACACACGUACUACAAUGGCAGAAACAGCCCGUUGCGAAGCCGCGAGGUGGAGCUAAUCGGUAAAACACUGUCUCAGUUCGGAUUGAAGUCUGCAACUCGACUU
rnacentral:rRNA from 1 species